rnacentral:rRNA from 1 species
AUUGAACGCUGGCGGCAGGCCUAACACAUGCAAGUCGAGCGAGCGGCGGACGGGUGAGUAAUGUAUGGGGAUCUGCCUGAUGGAGGGGGAUAACUGCUGUAACCGGUAGCUAAUACCGCAUACCAUCAGAUGAACCCAUAUGGGAUUAGCUGGUAGGGGUGGUAACGGCUCACCUUGGCGACGAUCCCUAGCUGGUCUGAGAGGAUGAUCAGCCACACUGGGACUGAGACACGGCCCAGACUCCUACGGGAGGCAGCAGUAGGGAAUCUUGCACAAUGGGCGAAAGCCUGAUGCAGCAAUGCCGCGUGUAUGAAGAAGGCCUUCGGGUUGUAAAACACUUUCAGUAGGGAGGCGUUACCUACAGAAGAAGCACCGGCUAACUACGUGCCAGCAGCCGCGGUAAUAC